rnacentral:rRNA from 1 species
UUGGAUUAUGGCUCAGAUUGAACGCUGGCGGGAUGCUUUACACAGAAGGCAAGUCGAACGGCAGCACGGACUUCGGUCUGGUGGCGAGUGGCGAAACGGGUGCAGGUUGUCGAACGCCUAGUAGCGGGGUAAUCACGAAGCGUAGCUAAUACCGUACGUUCUUCGGGGUGGCGCGGGGACCUCGGGCCUGCAUUAUUAGGAGCGGGCUGAUAUCGGAUUAGCUAGUUGGUGGGUGGGUAACGGCUCACCACAUGAUUUGAUCCGUAGCUGGUUUGAGAGGACGACCAGCCACACUGGGACUGAGACACGCCCCAGACUUACGUGGAGGCAGCAGUGGGGAAUUUGGACAAUGGGGAAACUCCUGAUCCAGCCAUCUCGGGUGUGCGAUGAAGGCCUCGAAGCGAAAAGCACUUUUGGCAGGAAAGAAAUCGCGCGUGGAUAAUACCCCGUGCAACUGACGGGUAUUCGGCAGAAUAAGCACUGAAGCACUACGUGCCAGCAGCCGCGGUAAUACGUAGGGUGCAAGCGUUAAUCGGAAUUACUGGGCGCAAAGCGCGCAGGCGGUUCGGAAAGAGCAUGAAUCCUGAGCUUAACUUUGAACUGCAUUUUUAACUACCGAGCUAGAGUGUGUCAGAGGGAGUGGAAUUCCAGCAAUGCUAGAUAUGCGGAGGAACACCGAUGGCGAAGGCAGCCUCAUGGGAGUAACACUGACGCUCAUGCACGAAAGCGGGGAGCAAACAGGAUUAGACAAUCUGCAGUAGUCCACGCCCUAAACGAUGUCAUUCAGCUGCUGGGGCCUUCGGGCCCUGGUAGCGCAGCUAACGCGUGAAGUUGACCGCCUGGGGAGUACGGUCGCAUGAUUGGAAACUCAAAGGAAUUGACGGGGACCGCACAAGCGGUGGAUGAUGGGAUUAAUUCGAUGCAACGCGAAAAACCCGACUACCCUUGACAUGUCUGAAUCCCAGAGAUUUGGGAGUGCUCGCAAGAGAACCGGAACACAGGUGCUGUCACGGCUGUCGCUGCCUGUGUCGUGGAGACGCUGCCGGAGUCCCGCAAUGAGCGCAACCCUUGUCAUUAGUUGCUACGAAAGGGCACUCCCCAAUGAGACUGUAUUAAGAUAAACUGGAGGAAGGUGGGGAUGACGUCAAGUCCUCAUGGACCUAUGGGUAGGUCAUAAUGUCAUAAUGGUCGCGACAGGCCCUAACCCGCGAGGGGAGCCAAUCCCAGAACCCGAUCGUAGUCCGAUCCAGUCUGCAACCGACUGCGUGAAGUUUGGAAUCGCUAGUAAUCAUGGAUCAGCAUGUCGCGGUGAAUACGUUCCGGGUCUUGCGGCUACACACCGCCCGGGUCACCAUGGGAGGGUUUACCAGAAGUAGUUAGCCUAACCGUAAGGAGUGGCGAUUGGCCACGGUAGAGAUUCAUGACUGGGGUGAAGUCGUAACAAGGUAGC